AUGUGGUGUUUUCUUCAAUAUGCAACUCCGUUGCAUAUUGAGCUCCACUUAAUGUGUAGUGUUGUUUGUUGCACUUUGCCAUGCCAUGCUUCAUUAAACCGGACAUACAUCAUACUUGGUUGUGCAUCAUGCCAUGAGUAUGUGAUGGUUGUUUACCAUGUUGUUUGCUUCUUUCCGGUGAUGCUUCUUCGGGUUAGUUCCGAUAACAUCGCGUUUGUGAGGAUCCGUUCGACUUUGUCUGUUUGUUUUCUUUCUGGACUCAUUCUUCUUCCUUGUGGGAUCUCAAGCAAGAUGACCACACCCUCGAAAUCACUUCUAUCUUUGCUUGCUAGUUGUUCGCUCUACUGCUAUGUCGUGCUACCUACCACUUGUUAUAUCAUGCCUCCCAUAUUGCCAUGUCAAGCCUCUAACCCACCUUUCCUAGCAAACCAUUGUUUGGCUAAGUUACCGCUUUUUCUCAGCCCCUCUUAUAGUGUUGCUAGUUGCAGGUGA
rnacentral:rRNA from 1 species